AUAGAUACCCAGGUAGUCCACGCCGUAAACUAUGGAUGCUAGCCGUCGGGUAGCUUGCUAUUCGGUGGCGCAGCUAACGCAUUAAGCAUCCCGCCUGGGGAGUACGGCCGCAAGGUUAAACCCAAAGGAAUUGACGGGGCCCGCGACAAGCGGUGGAGCAUGUGGUUUAAUUCGUACGCAACGCGAAGAACCUUACCAGCUCUUGACAUUCACUGAUCGCCGGCAGAGAUGCCGGAGUUCCAGCAAUGGACAGUGGGACAGGUGCUGCAUGGCUGCCGUCAGCUCGUGUCGUGAGAUGUUGGGUUAAGUCCCGCAACGAGCGCAACCCUCGCCAUUAGUUGCCAUCAUUUAGUUGGGCACUCUAAUGGGACUGCCGGUGAUAAGCCGGAGGAAGGUGGGGAUGACGUCAAGUCAUCAUGGCCCUUACGGGCUGGGCUACACACGUGCUACAAUGGCGGUGACAAUGCGCAGCCACCUAGCAAUAGGGAGCUAAUCGCAAAAAGCCGU
rnacentral:rRNA from 1 species